rnacentral:rRNA from 1 species
ACGGGAGGCAGCAGUAGGGAAUAUUGCACAAUGGGGGAAACCCUGAUGCAGCAACGUCACGUGUGGGAAGAAGCAUUUCGGUGUGUAAACCACUGUCGUGAGGGAAUAAUGUUGCGUUUCGGCGCAAUUGAAUGUACCUCGAAAGGAAGCACCGGCAAACUUCGUGCCAGCAGCCGCGGUAAUACGAGGGGUGCAAGCGUUGUUCGGAAUCACUGGGCGUAAAGGGAGCGUAGGCGGAGACGCAAGCAGUCUGUACAAUACCGGGGCCCAACCCCGGACCUGCAGACUGGACUGUGUCUCUUGGAUAGUUCAGGGGCAGGCGGAAUUCCUGGUGUAGCGGUGGAAUGCGUAGAGAUCAGGAAGAACACCGAUGGCGAAGGCAGUCUGCUGGGGACUCAUCGACGCUGAGGCUCGAAAGUGCGGGUAGCAAACAGGAUUAGAUACCCUGGUA